CACGCCCAGUUCGCACAGGUAGAGAACGGAGGUGGGAACGUAGGAGGAAGUGGCCGAGGUGCACGUAGCAUAUUAUCCUACAGAGGUCACGCAUGUUGAGGACUGCACAGAAGCAUUCAGACGCCAUCCAGCCACGUCCGGUGCUCCAGACCCAGAGAGAAGAAACAACCACUGACACUGACCUUGAAGUGACCAUUACUGAUCUCACAGGUUGCAACUGAACCGUACAACCGAGACCCAAAGCGGCUCAGCGACAUAAAAGCAGCCGAAUGCUGCACCUGCAUCCACAGAUCAUCACACUAUUGUGGCAUUUAAAGAAAAGGCCUCAGUCGAACACGCCCC